UUGAACGCUGGCGGCAGGCCUAACACAUGCAAGUCGAACGGUAACAGGAAGCAGCUUGCUGCUUCGCUGACGAGUGGCGGACGGGUGAGUAAUGUCUGGGAAACUGCCUGAUGGAGGGGGAUAACUACUGGAAACGGUAGCUAAUACCGCAUAACGUCGCAAGACCAAAGAGGGGGACCUUAGGGCCUCUUGCCAUCGGAUGUGCCCAGAUGGGAUUAGCUAGUAGGUGGGGUAACGGCUCACCUAGGCGACGAUCCCUAGCUGGUCUGAGAGGAUGACCAGCCACACUGGAACUGAGACACGGUCCAGACUCCUACGGGAGGCAGCAGUGGGGAAUAUUGCACAAUGGGCGCAAGCCUGAUGCAGCCAUGCCGCGUGUAUGAAGAAGGCCUUCGGGUUGUAAAGUACUUUCAGCGGGGAGGAAGGGAGUAAAGUUAAUACCUUGGCUCAUUGACGCUACCCGCAGAAGAAGCACCGGCUAACUCCGUG
rnacentral:rRNA from 1 species